UUCGGAUAUGAGUAGAGCGGCGGACGGGUGAGUAACGCGUAGGAAUCUACCUAGUAGAAGGGGAUAGCCCGGGGAAACCCGGAUUAAUACCGUAUACCUCCUUCGGGAGAAAGAAGGCCUCUCUUUGAAGCUUUCGCUAUUAGAUGAGCCUGCGUAAGAUUAGCUUGUUGGUGAGGUAAAGGCUCACCAAGGCUACGAUCUUUAGCUGGUCUGAGAGGACGAUCAGCCACAUUGGGACUGAGACACGGCCCAGACUCCUACGGGAGGCAGCAGUGGGGAAUAUUGGACAAUGGGCGCAAGCCUGAUCCAGCCAUACCGCGUGUGUGAAGAAGGCCUUCGGGUUGUAAAGCACUUUAAGCAGGGAGAAAAAGUUAUAAGUUAAUACCUUAUAACCGUGAUGUUACCUGCAGAAUAAGCACCGGCUAAUUCCGUGCCAGCAGCCGCGGUAAUACGGAAGGUGCAAGCGUUAAUCGGAAUUACUGGGCGUAAAGCGCGCGUAGGUGGUUUGUUAAGUUGGAUGUGAAAGCCCUGGGCUCAACCUAGGAACUGCAUCCAAAACUAACUCACUAGAGUACGAUAGAGGGAGGUAGAAUUCAUAGUGUAGCGGUGGAAUGCGUAGAUAUUAUGAAGAAUACCAGUGGCGAAGGCGGCCUCCUGGAUCUGUACUGACACUGAGGUGCGAAAGCGUGGGUAGCGAACAGGAUUAGAUACCCUGGCAGUCCACGCCGUAAACGAUGACAACUAGCUGUUGGGAGACAAUGUCUCUCAGUGGCGCAGCUAACGUUUUAAGUUGUCCGCCUGGGGAGUACGGCCGCAAGGCUAAAACUCAAAUGAAUUGACGGGGACCCGCACAAGCGGUGGAGCAUGUGGUUUAAUUCGAUGCAACGCGAAAAACCUUACCUACUCUUGACAUAUUUGGA
rnacentral:rRNA from 1 species